UACGGAGGAUGCGAGCGUUAUCCGGAUUUAUUGGGUUUAAAGGGUGCGUAGGCGGCCUUGUAAGUCAGCGGUGAAAUUUUGCAGCUUAACUGUAAAAGUGCCGUUGAUACUGUGAGGCUAGGAUUUGGUUGCUGUGGGUGGAAUGUGUGGUGUAGCGGUGAAAUGCUUAGAGAUCACACAGAAUAUCGAUUGCGAAGGCAGCUCACAAAGCCAAGAUUGACGCUGAGGCACGAAAGUGUGGGGAUCAAACAGGAUUA
rnacentral:rRNA from 1 species